AUUGAACGCUGGCGGCAUGCCUUACACAUGCAAGUCGAACGGCAGCACGGGUGCUUGCACCUGGUGGCGAGUGGCGAACGGGUGAGUAAUACAUCGGAACAUGUCCUGUAGUGGGGGAUAGCCCGGCGAAAGCCGGAUUAAUACCGCAUACGAUCUACGGAUGAAAGCGGGGGACCUUCGGGCCUCGCGUUAUAGGGUUGGCCGAUGGCUGAUUAGCUAGUUGGUGGGGUAAAGGCCUACCAAGGCGACGAUCAGUAGCUGGUCUGAGAGGACGACCAGCCACACUGGGACUGAGACACGGCCCAGACUCCUACGGGAGGCAGCAGUGGGGAAUUUUGGACAAUGGGCGAAAGCCUGAUCCAGCAAUGCCGCGUGUGUGAAGAAGGCCUUCGGGUUGUAAAGCACUUUUGUCCGGAAAGAAAUCCUUGGCCCUAAUACGGUCGGGGGAUGACGGUACCGGAAGAAUAAGCACCGGCUAACUACGUG
rnacentral:rRNA from 1 species